rnacentral:rRNA from 2 species
AGAGUUUGAUCCUGGCUCAGGAUGAACGCCGGCGGUGUGCCUAAUACAUGCAAGUCGUACGCACUGGCCCAACUGAUUGAUGGUGCUUGCACCUGAUUGACGAUGGAUCACCAGUGAGUGGCGGACGGGUGAGUAACACGUAGGUAACCUGCCCCGGAGCGGGGGAUAACAUUUGGAAACAGAUGCUAAUACCGCAUAACAACAAAAGCCACAUGGCUUUUGUUUGAAAGAUGGCUUUGGCCAUCACUCUGGGAUGGACCUGCGGUGCAUUAGCUAGUUGGUAAGGUAACGGCUUACCAAGGCGAUGAUGCAUAGCCGAGUUGAGAGACUGAUCGGCCACAAUGGAACUGAGACACGGUCCAUACUCCUACGGGAGGCAGCAGUAGGGAAUCUUCCACAAUGGGCGCAAGCCUGAUGGAGCAACACCGCGUGAGUGAAGAAGGGUUUCGGCUCGUAAAGCUCUGUUGUUGGAGAAGAACGUGCGUGAGAGUAACUGUUCACGCAGUGACGGUAUCCAACCAGAAAGUCACGGCUAACUACGUGCCAGCAGCCGCGGUAAUACGUAGGUGGCAAGCGUUAUCCGGAUUUAUUGGGCGUAAAGCGAGCGCAGGCGGUUGCUUAGGUCUGAUGUGAAAGCCUUCGGCUUAACCGAAGAAGUGCAUCGGAAACCGGGCGACUUGAGUGCAGAAGAGGACAGUGGAACUCCAUGUGUAGCGGUGGAAUGCGUAGAUAUAUGGAAGAACACCAGUGGCGAAGGCGGCUGUCUGGUCUGCAACUGACGCUGAGGCUCGAAAGCAUGGGUAGCGAACAGGAUUAGAUACCCUGGUAGUCCAUGCCGUAAACGAUGAGUGCUAGGUGUUGGAGGGUUUCCGCCCUUCAGUGCCGGAGCUAACGCAUUAAGCACUCCGCCUGGGGAGUACGACCGCAAGGUUGAAACUCAAAGGAAUUGACGGGGGCCCGCACAAGCGGUGGAGCAUGUGGUUUAAUUCGAAGCUACGCGAAGAACCUUACCAGGUCUUGACAUCUUGCGCUAACCUUAGAGAUAAGGCGUUCCCUUCGGGGACGCAAUGACAGGUGGUGCAUGGUUGUCGUCAGCUCGUGUCGUGAGAUGUUGGGUUAAGUCCCGCAACGAGCGCAACCCUUGUUACUAGUUGCCAGCAUUAAGUUGGGCACUCUAGUGAGACUGCCGGUGACAAACCGGAGGAAGGUGGGGACGACGUCAGAUCAUCAUGCCCCUUAUGACCUGGGCUACACACGUGCUACAAUGGACGGUACAACGAGUCGCAAGCUCGCGAGAGUAAGCUAAUCUCUUAAAGCCGUUCUCAGUUCGGACUGUAGGCUGCAACUCGCCUACACGAAGUCGGAAUCGCUAGUAAUCGCGGAUCAGCAUGCCGCGGUGAAUACGUUCCCGGGCCUUGUACACACCGCCCGUC